CGUAGACUGGAUGGUCCACGAUCCAGUGCGUGGACCGCGUGGGCAUUUUUCAUGCAUUUCUCACGGUCCACGGCACUAUUUCAUGGAUUGGAGCAUGAUCAGAUAGUGUGGGUUGAUCCAAAACUUGAUCCGAUGGUUCAGAAACUUAAUUGGGCUUGAUUAGGAGUCUUAAACCUAAUCAAACUCAAGUUUAAGGCCUUAUAAAAGGUCCAGAUCGUGGAACAGAGGUCUUAUGGCGGUGGCUUGUUUUUCCCUCGAUGC
rnacentral:lncRNA from 1 species